rnacentral:lncRNA from 1 species
GAACGCGACAGCGGCGUGCAAGCCACGGCAGCGGCGCUGUGGGGACAGCUGGGCUCGGACGUCUCUCUUCGAUGAAGGACGAGCGAGAAAAAGGAGCUUUUAGUUCGCUUAAGGAAGAGCCCAGCGACAACCACAUAAAGCUGGUAUAAGAAGAGCUGUGAUGAUCUCAGAGCAGCUCUCAAA